rnacentral:tRNA from 1 species
GCUUUUGGCUAAAUUGAUAAGAGCGUGGCACUAUCAAUGCCAAGAUUGUGGGUUCAAUUCCUGCAGGCA